rnacentral:rRNA from 1 species
CAAGUCGAGCGGUAAGGCCCUUCGGGGUACACGAGCGGCGAACGGGUGAGUAACACGUGGGUGAUCUGCCUCGCACUCUGGGAUAAGCUUGGGAAACUGGGUCUAAUACCGGAUAUGACCAUGGGAUGCAUGUUCUGUGGUGGAAAGAUUUAUUGGUGCGAGAUGAGCCCGCGGCCUAUCAGCUUGUUGGUGAGGUAACGGCCCACCAAGGCGACGACGGGUAGCCGGCCUGAGAGGGCGAUCGGCCACACUGGGACUGAGACACGGCCCAGACUCCUACGGGAGGCAGCAGUGGGGAAUAUUGCACAAUGGGCGAAAGCCUGAUGCAGCGACGCCGCGUGAGGGAUGACGGCCUUCGGGUUGUAAACCUCUUUCGACAGGGACGAAGCGCAAGUGACGGUACCUGUAGAAGAAGCACCGGCCAACUACGUGCCAGCAGCCGCGGUAAUACGUAGGGUGCGAGCGUUGUCCGGAAUUACUGGGCGUAAAGAGCUUGUAGGCGGUCUGUCGCGUCGUCUGUGAAAACUUGGGGCUCAACUCCAAGCUUGCAGGCGAUACGGGCAGACUUGAGUACUUCAGGGGAGACUGGAAUUCCUGGUGUAGCGGUGAAAUGCGCAGAUAUCAGG